rnacentral:rRNA from 1 species
AUUGAACGCUGGCGGAAUGCUUUACACAUGCAAGUCGAACGGCAGCACGGACUUCGGUCUGGUGGCGAGUGGCGAACGGGUGAGUAAUGUAUCGGAACGUGCCCAGUCGUGGGGGAUAACGUAGUGAAAAUUACGCUAAUACCGCAUACGAUCUAUGGAUGAAAGCGGGGGAUCGCAAGACCUCGCGCGAUUGGAGCGGCCGAUAUCAGAUUAGGUAGUUGGUGGGGUAAAGGCCCACCAAGCCAACGAUCUGUAGCUGGUCUGAGAGGACGACCAGCCACACUGGAACUGAGACACGGUCCAGACUCCUACGGGAGGCAGCAGUGGGGAAUUUUGGACAAUGGGCGAAAGCCUGAUCCAGCCAUUCCGCGUGCAGGAUGAAGGCCCUCGGGUUGUAAACUGCUUCUGUACAGAACGAAAAGGUUUCUACUAAUACCAGGAGCUCAUGGCGGUACCGUAAGAAUAAGCACCGGCUAACUACGUGCCAGCAGCCGCCGUAA